rnacentral:rRNA from 1 species
GACGAACGCUGGCGGCGUGCUUAACACAUGCAAGUCGAGCGAUGAAGUUCCUUCGGGAAUGGAUUAGCGGCGGACGGGUGAGUAACACGUGGGUAACCUGCCUCAUAGAGGGGAAUAGCCUUCCGAAAGGAAGAUUAAUACCGCAUAAGAUUGUAGUACCGCAUGGUAUAGCAAUUAAAGGAGCAAUCCGCUAUGAGAUGGACCCGCGUCGCAUUAGCUAGUUGGUGAGGUAACGGCUCACCAAGGCGACAAUGCGUAGCCGACCUGAGAGGGUGAUCGGCCACAUUGGGACUGAGACACGGCCCAGGCUCCUACGGGAGGCAGCAGUGGGGAAUAUUGCACAAUGGGGGAAACCCUGAUGCAGCAACGCCGCGUGAGUGAUGACGGUCUUCGGAUUGUAAAACUCUGUCUUCAGGGACGAUAAUGACGGUACCUGAGGAGGAAGCCACAGCUAACUACGUGCCAGCAGCCGCGGUAAAAC